CUCCUUCAGCGCCCUGCAGUCCCCAGCAGGUUGGUGACCAGAAUUUGGGGACAGAGCCCACAGCAUUCAGCUCCCACUUACCUCUGGGCUGAGGAGGUGCCCCCCAGACUCCACAGCUCUGGAGGAGAAGCAGCAAAGAGAGUGGCAAGGCGCAGAAAAUCCCGUCCAUGGCUGCGGAGGAGCCGCCGGAGGUUGGAUGCAGAAUGGCACACGGGAGCCUUGGCCCUGAGGCUUCCUUUGAUGUUCCCAUGUAUUUCCAGGCCCCCAUUUUUCAAAUAUUCAGAGAAAUAGUGACCAAAGCAGCCAUUUAGUCAGAGCUCCAAUUCUCAUGUUUCAUCCCCGUGAUGUUUCUGUAUCAGUUAUGGGGUGCAGAGGAGCUCUUCCUGGCUUGCUUCAUUAUCAGAAAGGAUAUUUACUGUGCCACUAUUGUACUGCAGAAGUGAUAUUUGCAGUGAAGGAAUUGGUGCAAAGCACAAAACAGAUUAUGGAAACGGUGAAAGACUGCAGAGAGACGAAUGGCUUUAAAUACAACCUUUUUGACAACUCAAGAUCAAAAGAAGUACUGUUUAUCCUUUAAGCUGCAAAUGGCUGGCAAAUAUCCUUCUACUCUGAUGCUGUAAAUAGUAAAUGCUGUUUAUGACUAGUCAAUGUUUAUGUAUUUUAUGGGUCACAUUUAUUUCAGAGGGAUCAUUUUUUAUUUGCUGUGUUAACCUUGCCCACAUUCCCCCAGGGCCAAGUCGCCUCCUGGGUGCUAUUCCUGGCUCUGAUGUUGGCCUCUUGGAAGGGUUGGGUAGCUCUGCGCCUCAAAUUCUGCACCAGCAUUGUUGGCCUGGCCCAGAGGGCUAUAGCUGUUCUGCUAAAUUGCUUGGAUGAAGCAGCAAUGUAAGACUUGUAAAAGUUGAAGGUCACUGUGAAUGCAGCUCGUUUUCUCCAGCAAAUGAGCAAACAUAUCAACUGGACCAAGGCAAACCUUACAAAAGGACCAUGGCACAAAGGCACAGCGGUAAAGACUGUGGGAUGGUCUAAGAAGAGCUAUGUAACAUCAUUCUCAGUAGCAGCAGUGCUACAAAACACUGGCAGACAGAGGGAUGAGGGAGAUCCUUGGCUGCAGUCCAUGAGGUGUCUGGCCUGAUGGAUGGGCACCUAGACGGAAAGCCAAAGGCAACGAAAGGCUUUGGGCUGAUGCAUGACCACACUUGUCAUCUUCCGUCAUCCUGGGCCAACCACUGGGGACAGCAGUUGCAGUGACUUCGUUUGGCUGAUACGUGUAAUUACUUUAAUGAACUGUCUGCAGGAAAGCUAAAGAAAAACACGUCUUGUAAUGAUGUUUGAUUAGUGCAAUUAUCAUGGCAGCUGUCCCAGGCUCUAAGUCUGAUCCUGGAUGGUUUGUAGGUGCCACUCAAAGCAGCAGGAAUGGAGGCAGCAAGACAACCAGGCAGGGCAGUGCAGUCCCUGCAUUGUGCAGGGCGGUCUGCGGUGACUGAGUCCUGGAGAGCUGCCACACGUCCAUCACCCGGGGUUCCCUCAGCUGCUCUGGAGCAGCUCAGCACAUGGGCUUGAAUCAUUGAGGAUGUGCCAGGGAAUUCUGCCAAGUUGCUGUCUUUGCCCUCUUCAAGGUCUAUUUAUGCUCUCUUAUGGACAUCAGAAGACUCUUGGGACAGAGGAGGCAUUUCCAUGAUGGUGGAUGCUACAGCUGGAUCUGCCUGAUUUUGAGUGCAGUCGUUCCUGUUGCAUUAUGCAUGGUUUUUGCCAAGUUGCUAGAAUUCGCAUCAUGUUUCCAGAUGCUAUUUCGAAGUCUGAUAGAAUCUGGCACCAGAAAAAUGCUUCUGAUCCUCCCCAGGUUCUGCAUCCACCAUAUUUUCUGCUGGCUUUGGUGCAGUUUACCCUCUAAUACUAUUUGUAGAAUCAUAAUUUUUUUGUCAAAGUCUGACAAAAUAUUAUGGCCUGGGUUUCUGGGGCAGCCCGUACUGGCUUCCUUCACCAGAAAACAUUCCUGAUCACCAGACAGGUUUAUCACACAUGUUCCUACAAGGCUGUGAGUGGUGCAUGGGAAGGCUUCCAGCACCUCUCUUGGGUUUGCAGCAUUGAUUCAGCAGGACCAGCUCAAGGCCAAGGGAAAGAGCCUCAAGAAAAAACAUCAAUAAAACAAAUACUUCCACAAUGAAAGAGGUUCAAAAAUAACUACAUUUCAUCAAUAAAACAGAUACUUCUGCAGUGACAGUGAGCACAACCUUGUCUCUUCCAGCCACGAGGACUACCUGCAGGCAGUCUUUAUAGACAUAGGCAUGGGUUGAUGGUUGGACUAGAUGAUCCUAGUGAUCUUUCCAAUCCUAAUGAUUCUAUGAUUUUCUUGGACCUUUAGAUGCAUUUCUUGCAGCCUUGAGUACUGAUCCUGGUUCUGAAGCAGACCAGGAUCACCCUCAACUAUUUUGCAGUUUCUCUCCCCUCCUUUAUGUCCGUGGUUAUUGCAGAAGUUGUUUCCUCUUUAUUUACACCUCAGUUUCCCUUUCUGUGGCAUAGGGAGAGCAGCGAUGUAUGUUUGGUUAAGUUUCUUCUUUUACAGCAGAUAGUCAAAUAACCAGCUGAAAGCAAUGGCACAUGGAUGCCUACAGAAGAACAAUAAAUUGAACCUAUGAGAAGUGUUCAAAGCAAUGUGAAAGACAAUACAGACCUAUUUCUACUCAUGUGAAACACUUUUCCAUCCAAGUUUCUUAAUUUCCUCUCUACAAAAGGGGAAGUGGGAGUUGUGUAAACAAAACCAAAACAAAAAAAGUCCUGUUUCAGGUCAGAUGAGGGAAAUCACAGUCAGAUGGGGAAUCUGAUGGACAUCUUGACUCCUAGAGCACAUCUGCCUCCAUGAGAUGCUGCUUCUAGAGGAGGUCCUGUCCCUCUCACACCUAACCUGUCAGUGCUGACAUCGUCUGCCCAGUCUUCUGCCUAUAUCAAAGAAUUGCUGUUCAUUUGUCCUCUGCACUGAAAAAAAAGAAAAAAAAAAAAAAAAAAGGAAGUGUGGA